AUGUUUUCCUAUUUGACCUUCCCCACGUCUUGAGAGAGGAGUCUCCGUAGAUCUUUGGUCUUCUCCCCCCGUAACAGAAAAUUCCCAAAAUUUCUACCGUGAGAAGCCCUAAAACAAUUCCUCGAUCCGUAAGCUGUGGUGGCGCCUUCCCCUCUGAAUUUGCGCCUAGCUCCAGAUCUCUCUUCACUAUUUUCUAGCGUCGCCUCUUUUCUGAUCUAUUUGGCGUCAAUCAUCAUUCUCACUAAUACUAAUCCAUCUGGUUGACCCUCGUUGGAUUGGAAUUUGGAUCAGUCGUGCAGGAGCAGGGUUCGUGGAUCCUCUAUGGACAGCAAACGCCUACAAGAUCCGCAGCCACACCGACAUCAUCUUCUGGCACGGCAAGGGUGGUUGAGAGUUUGUAGAAGCAUCUAGAGGGGUUCAUGGUGGGGGAGACAUUGGCGCCAACGUUCAUAGUGUAGUGCGACUAGUGCAGCAAUUCAGCGUUGGAGUGGAACAAUGUGUGCUCUCUGCUACUAUUCAUUGUCGGCUCCAGGAUGCACCGCAGGGGUACCACCCGGUUCAGCGAAGCCAUGAGGGGCGUUGCUGCGUGUCUUCCUCGACGUGUUUGACGCGCACCAUGGGAUAUUAGCUUAUGGAUGUGACGGUUUGUCUAGAGCAUAUUUGAUUUCAGUAUACAUACGUUUGAAAAACUGGUCAAUAUUAUUGGCACUAAACCUCUAGUACCAAGCUAGAUUCCUAUGAGGUUAUUUCUAAUUGAAAACAGUUCCCGAAAUAUUGCAGGGCACUAACACAUUUCAUCCGAUGACAACCUAAUGAUAGAUAGUAGCACUCUUAUAAUAGAUGAUUGCCAAGACAAACAGAUAUGCACGGCUCAGAUGUUGAUAGCAAGGUCGAGAGUGAAGCUACUUCUAGAUAGGUCCACAAGUUGUUUUGGAUUUUUCUUUUGCCGAAUCAAUGCUCAAACAUUAUGCUUUACAAUAACUGAGAUGUUGAUAGCAAGGUCGAGAACUGGGCUGCUGGUAGUAGAUAGUUUCACAUCUUAUAAUCUUUGGAUUGUGUUCUUUGUAAUGCAACAGCCAAUUUAAUAAGUGAAAUGUUCUAUUCA